rnacentral:rRNA from 1 species
AACGAACGCUGGCGGCGCGCCUAAUACAUGCAAGUCGAGCGAGAAGACGUAGCAAUACGUUUGUAAAGCGGCGAACGGGUGAGGAAUACAUGGGUAACCUACCCUCGAGUGGGGAAUAACUAGCCGAAAGGUUAGCUAAUACCGCGUACGCUCCUUGGACUUCGGUUCAGGGAGGAAAGCGAUACCGUGGGUAUCGCGCUCUUGGAUGGGCUCAUGUCCUAUCAGCUUGUUGGUGGGGAACGGCUCACCAAGGCUUCGACGGGUAGCCGGUCUGAGAGGACGAUCAGCCACACUGGCACUGCGACACGGGCCAGACUCCUACGGGAGCAGCAGUAAGGAAUAUUGCGCAAUGGGCGAAAGCCUGACGCAGCGACGCCGCGUGGGGGAUGAAGGUCUUCGGAUUGUAAACCCCUUUCGGGAGGG